rnacentral:tRNA from 1 species
GUAGAUAUAGUUUACAUAAAACACUAGAUUGUGAAUCUAGUAACAGAGACUAGAACCUCUUAUCCACC